rnacentral:tRNA from 1 species
AUUAAAGUAGUUUAUUACCUCAAAAUAAGGAGUUGUGGAUUCCUAGAUCCUGCUAAGGCUUUAAUU